GACGAACGCCGGCGGCGUGCCUAAUACAUGCAAGUAGAACGCACAGUUUAUACCGUAGCUUGCUACACCAUAGACUGUGAGUUGCGAACGGGUGAGUAACGCGUAGGUAACCUGCCUGGUAGCGGGGGAUAACUAUUGGAAACGAUAGCUAAUACCGCAUAAUAUUGAUUAUUGCAUGAUAAUUGAUUGAAAGAUGCUAUUGCAUCACUACCAGAUGGACCUGCGUUGUAUUAGCUAGUAGGUGAGGUAACGGCUCACCUAGGCGACGAUACAUAGCCGACCUGAGAGGGUGAUCGGCCACACUGGGACUGAGACACGGCCCAGACUCCUACGGGAGGCAGCAGUAGGGAAUCCUCGGCAAUGGACGAAAGUCUGACCGAGCAACGCCGCGUGAGUGAAGAAGGUUUUCGGAUCGUAAAGCUCUGUUGUAAGAGAAGAACGGGUGUGAGAGUGGAAAGUUCACACUGUGACGGUAUCUUACCAGAAAGGGACGGCUAACUACGUG
rnacentral:rRNA from 1 species